GACUGAGUGUACAAAUCCUCUCUUGUGAGCAAAGAUUAAUCAAUGUUUGCCUUUGUGCGAUGAUAGUUUCUUCCAAUCGCCACACAGGUGUUAACAUAUCUUGAACGAUUUGGACCUCAAGCAUUGGAGCGGAUCUGAUCUGCUACAGGUAUUUCUCUACCACUUCGAGUAACUCACCUUCAACUUCACUUCUCUACUGUGACGGGUGUUUAUUUUCAUCCUCUAUGGUUCAGAAGGUCCAGUUAGCUGUCGGGGACAAGAUCCCAAAUCGGAGGGAAUAGAAUAUGUCAAUCUAAUGUUGAAGCGAGCCACCUCAGUUGAAGUACUGAUAUCAG
rnacentral:lncRNA from 1 species